rnacentral:rRNA from 1 species
UAUGCCUACGGGGGGCAGCAGUGGGGAAUAUUGGGCAAUGGGCGCAAGCCUGACCCAGCAACGCCGCGUGAAGGAAGAAGGCUUUCGGGUUGUAAACUUCUUUUCUCAGGGACGAAGCAAGUGACGGUACCUGAGGAAUAAGCCACGGCUAACUACGUGCCAGCAGCCGCGGUAAUACGUAGGUGGCAAGCGUUAUCCGGAUUUACUGGGUGUAAAGGGCGUGUAGGCGGGGACGCAAGUCAGGUGGGAAAACCAUGGGCUCAACCUGUGGCCUGCAUUUGAAACUGUGUUUCUUGCGUACUGGG